ACCGAGGGCGAUUCCUCCCGCUGUCCUAGAGCUGCCUCCCAGAGGGGGCAGGGGUCUCUAAGUCGCUUUCGGGAACCAGGCCGCGCUUCCGGCCGCGCGCGUCUCUCUGCUCUGCUUGGGGCCGCGCGCCAGGCAGUUGCGGCUGGGACCUCCUACCUGGGCUGCCGGUCAAAGAGCAGGAAGCAGCGAUGUCUGCCAUGGCUCCUGCAGCUCCACAUGUGCAUCGCCCUGGUGACAGUCACAGUGGCUGCAUGAGUUUCCUGGGCGCCCAGCUGCCUCCAGAGGUGGCAGCAAUGCCCCAGCUCCUGAGGGACCUGGACAGGGCCACGUUCAGAAAGUUGCUGAAGCUGGUGGUCAGCAGCCUGCAGGGAGAAGACUGCCGUGAGGCUGUGCAGCGCCUCGGGGCUGGCGCAGACCUGCCUGAGGAGCGGCUGGGGGCCCUGAUCGCUGGCACACACACCCUGCUCCAGCAGGCCCUCCGGCUGCCCCCGGCCAGCCUGAAGCCCGAUGCUUUCAAGAACCAGCUCCAGGAGCUCUGCAUCCCCCAAGACCUGGUCGUGGACUUGGCCAGUGUGGUGUUUGGGAGCCAGCGGCCUCUCCUUGACUCUGCGGCCAGGCAGCAGGGGGCCUGGCUGCCCCACGUUGCCGACUUCCGGUGGAGGGUGGACGUGGCCAUCUCCACCAGCGCCCUGGCCCGCUCCCUGCAGCCAAGCGUCCUGAUGCAGCUGAAGCUCUCGGAUGGGUCAGCCCUCCGCUUCGAGGUCCCCACAGCCAAGUUCCAGGAGCUGCGGUUCGGUGUGGCCAUGGUCCUGAAGGAGAUGGCCGACCUGGAGAAGAGGUGCGAGCGCAAACUGCAGGACUGAGCCUUGCUCGCCGGUCCCCUUCUGGUCACUGGGGAUAGCUGGCUCAGACCGGUGUCUCCAGAGCAAAGGCCGCCCUUCCCAGGAGGCACUCCAGGGACACGGGUUCGUUUACUGGUCCGGGAGGAUCCCACAUGCCGCGGAGCAACUAAACCCAUGUGCCGCAACUACUGAGCCCGCAUGCUGCAACUACUGAAGCCCACACGCCUAGAGCCCGUGCUCCGCAACAAGAGAAGCCACCACAAUGAGAAGCCCGCGCACCACAAUGAAGAAUAGCCCCCGCUCUCUGCAACUAGAGAAAGCCAGCACGCAGCAACGAAGACCCAACACAGCCAAAAAAAAAAAAGAUGAGUG